GAUCCUGGCUCAGAUUGAACGCUGGCGGAAUGCUUUACACAUGCAAGUCGAGCGGCAGCGCGGGGGCAACCCUGGCGGCGAGCGGCGAACGGGUGAGUAACAUAUCGGAACGUACCCAGUCGUGGGGGAUAACUAUCCGAAAGGAUAGCUAAUACCGCAUACGUCCUGAGGGAGAAAGCGGGGGAUCGCAAGACCUCGCGCGAUUGGAGCGGCCGAUAUCAGAUUAGGUAGUUGGUGGGGUAAAAGCCUACCAAGCCUUCGAUCUGUAGCUGGUCUGAGAGGACGACCAGCCACACUGGAACUGAGACACGGCCCAGACUCCUACGGGAGGCAGCAGUGGGGAAUUUUGGACAAUGGGCGCAAGCCUGAUCCAGCAAUGCCGCGUGUGUGAAGAAGGCCUGCGGGUUGUAAAGCACUUUCAGUGGGGAAGAACGGGCGAGGGUUAAUACCCCUAGCCACUGACGUUACCCACAGAAGAAGCACCGGCUAACUCCGUG
rnacentral:rRNA from 1 species